rnacentral:rRNA from 1 species
UUGAUCAUGGCUCAGAUUGAACGCUGGCGGCAGGCCUAACACAUGCAAGUCGAACGGUAACAGGAAACAGCUUGCUGUUUCGCUGACGAGUGGCGGACGGGUGAGUAAUGUCUGGGAAACUGCCUGAUGGAGGGGGAUAACUACUGGAAACGGUAGCUAAUACCGCAUAACGUCGCAAGACCAAAGAGGGGGACCUUCGGGCCUCUUGCCAUCGGAUGUGCCCAGAUGGGAUUAGCUAGUAGGUGGGGUAACGGCUCACCUAGGCGACGAUCCCUAGCUGGUCUGAGAGGAUGACCAGCCACACUGGAACUGAGACACGGUCCAGACUCCUACGGGAGGCAGCAGUGGGGAAUAUUGCACAAUGGGCGCAAGCCUGAUGCAGCCAUGCCGCGUGUAUGAAGAAGGCCUUCGGGUUGUAAAGUACUUUCAGCGGGGAGGAAGGGAGUAAAGUUAAUACCUUUGCUCAUUGACGUUACCCGCAGAAGAAGCACCGGCUAACUCCGUGCCAGCAGCCGCGGUAAUACGGAGGGUGCAAGCGUUAAUCGGAAUUACUGGGCGUAAAGCGCACGCAGGCGGUUUGUUAAGUCAGAUGUGAAAUCCCCGGGCUCAACCUGGGAACUGCAUCUGAUACUGGCAAGCUUGAGUCUCGUAGAGGGGGGUAGAAUUCCAGGUGUAGCGGUGAAAUGCGUAGAGAUCUGGAGGAAUACCGGUGGCGAAGGCGGCCCCCUGGACGAAGACUGACGCUCAGGUGCGAAAGCGUGGGGAGCAAACAGGAUU